rnacentral:misc_RNA from 1 species
GAUGAAGAACGCAGCGAAAUGCGAUAAGUAAUGUGAAUUGCAGAAUUCAGUGAAUCAUCGAAUCUUUGAACGCACAUUGCGCCCGCCAGUAUUCUGGCGGGCAUGCCUGUUCGAGCGUCAUUACAACCCUCAGGCCCCCGGGCCUGGCGUUGGGGUUCGGCGGAAGCCCCCUGCGGGCACAACGCCGUCCCCCAAAUACAGUGGCGGUCCCGCCGCAGCUUCCAUUGCGUAGUAGCUAACACCUCGCAACUGGAGAGCGGCGCGGCCACGCCGUAAAACACCCAACUUCUGAAUGUUGACCUCGAAUCAGGUAGGAAUACCCGCUGAACUUAAGCAUAUCAAUAAGCGGAGGA